GACGAACGCUGGUGGCGUGCUUAACACAUGCAAGUCGAACGAAGUGGCGAACGGGUGAGUAAUACGUGGUUAACCUGCCCUCCUUUUUGGGAUAGGCCUUGGAAACGAGGUCUAAUACUUAAUAAAGGGGGAGGGGCUCGCGGCCGAUCAGCUUGUUGGUGGGGUGGUGGCCUACCAAGGCGGGGCCGGGGAGCCGGCCUGAGAGGGGGCCCGGCGACAUGGGGAGGGAGAUUCGGCCCAGACUCCGACGGGAGGCAGCAGUGGGGGAAAUUGUACAAUGGGCGGAAGCCUGAUGCAGCCACGCCGAGUGGGGGAUGAAGUCUUUCGGGUUGGAAACCUCGUUCGCUACCGAACGGGUAGGUGGAGAAGAAGCGCCGGCUAACUACGUGCCAGCAGCCGCGGUAAUAC
rnacentral:rRNA from 1 species